rnacentral:rRNA from 1 species
GAUAACCUGCCGUAUACAGGGGGAUAACACUUAGAAAUAGGUGCUAAUACCGCAUAAGCGCACGGUUCCGCAUGGAACAGUGUGAAAAACUCCGGCGGUAUACGAUGGAUCCGCGUCUGAUUAGCCAGUUGGCGGGGUAACGGCCCACCAAAGCGACGAUCAGUAGCCGGCCUGAGAGGGUGAACGGCCACAUUGGGACUGAGACACGGCCCAAACUCCUACGGGAGGCAGCAGUGGGGAAUAUUGCACAAUGGGGGAAACCCUGAUGCAGCGACGCCGCGUGAGUGAAGAAGUAUCUCGGUACGUAAAGCUCUAUCAGCAGGGAAGAAAAUGACGGUACCUGACUAAGAAGCCCCGGCUAACUACGUGCCAGCAGCCGCGGUAAUACGUAGGGGGCAAGCGUUAUCCGGAUUUACUGGGUGUAAAGGGAGCGUAGACGGCAGCGCAAGUCUGGAGUGAAAUGCCGGGGCCCAACCCCGGAACUGCUUUGGAAACUGUGCAGCUCGAGUGCAGGAGAGGUAAGCGGAAUUCCUAGUGUAGCGGUGAAAUGCGUAGAUAUUAGGAGGAACACCAGUGGCGAAGGCGGCUUACUGGACUGUAACUGACGUUGAGGCUCGAAAGCGUGGGGAGCAAACAGGAUUAGAUACCCUGGUAGUCCACGCCGUAAACGAUGAUUACUAGGUGU